rnacentral:hammerhead_ribozyme from 1 species
AUCCAGCUGAUGAGUCCCAAACAGGACGAAACACGCGUCCUGGAU